rnacentral:piRNA from 1 species
AGCUAAACAGAUGGGAAUCUCUCUG